rnacentral:lncRNA from 1 species
CAUUUGCAGGACCAGGGAUGCUGUGCUGCUCUCCCAUGAGCCAGUCACCGAGUCGGUCUGCUGCAGCCCUUUCUGAACCUCUGGCCGUCUGGAUGCUCCACUGUGCUUGCCAAGGCAGGUCAUCACAGCCUGCUGCAUCUUUAAAGCUCCUCCCAGCCCCCACCAAGGGGUGAGCACUCAUUACCUGACACCCGCACCUAGAUGACCGCCUUCAUGACCUUGACCUGCCCAUCUCCAGCCAGCCGGUCACUUCUCCGCUCACAACCACAGCCUCCAUUCCAUAGCCCACUGCUCCCUAACCCAUACACUCUGGUCAGCUUUGUCACAUGUACCUGGGAGUCCCAGAGCAGCCUCUUCAGGUCCACCCGCCUCUCCCAGCAACCUCCUUUUCACACCUGUUGCACUCUCAGUGUCUGCCUUGGCAUUGAGUAAUUCUGUGGGAAUAGGCUGCAUUCCUUCUUCACUGUGCUGUUAUGUCUCCUGGCAUUUGCCAUAAAUACCUUGGGACCAGUUGCACCAAGUUAGUUUGGGAGGAAUUCAGUAAGGACCACUAAGCUGGACAUGGGGAUGACGGAACACAAGACCUGGAGAUGCUGUGAUCCUCCCAAGAAAACUGGAAAUCCACUUGUGUGAGAGUUACAGCAGAGCUUCCUAAUCAUUGUCAUGGCUUAGCGCACAUACCACAUGAUUAUAUCUGCGUGACACCCUGAGGCACAUAAGAGGAUUUGAAACCACUGCCUGAGGCCUCUUAGCUGCAGCAGCCAGCCUGGAGCACUGUCCUCACCAGCCUGGUCAGGCUGCCCCAAGUUUUAGAAGAUCGAGGGUUUGCCGCACGCAGAGGGCCAUGGCACACAGUGUGGGAAGCUGUAUUAAAGAUCUUCCAGUGGGUGAAUAGUUAAGACAUUUCUUACAUAAUCAAGCACAGAGUGUGUGGU